rnacentral:rRNA from 1 species
GAUGAACGCUGGCGGCAUACCUAAUACAUGCAAGUCGAGCGAACAGACGAGGAGCUUGCUCCUCUGACGUUAGCGGCGGACGGGUGAGUAACACGUGGAUACCCUACCUAUAAGACUGGGAUAACUUCGGGAAUCCGGAGCUAAUACCGGAUAAUAUAUUGAACCGCAUGGUUCAAUAGUGAAAGACGGUUUUGCUGUCUCUUAUAGAUGGAUCUGAGCCGCAUUAGCUGGUUGCUACGGUAAAGGCUUACCAAGGCGAGGAUGCGUAGCCGACCUGAGAGGCGGAUCGGCCACACUAGAGCGGGGACGCGGUCCAGGGUCCUACGGGAGGCAGCAGUAUGGAACCUUCGGCAGUGGGCGAAAGCCUGACGGAACGAGGCGGCGUGAGUGAUGAAGGUCUUCGGAGCGUAAAACUCGGUUAUUAGGUAAGAACAAAUGUGUAAUUAACUAUGCACGUCGUGACGGUACCUAGUCAAAAAGCCACGGCUAACUACGUG